UACGGAGGGAGCUAGCGUUGUUCGGAAUUACUGGGCGUAAAGCGCGCGUAGGCGGCUUUGUAAGUUAGAGGUGAAAGCCCGGAGCUCAACUCCGGAACUGCCUUUAAGACUGCAUCGCUUGAAUCCAGGAGAGGUGAGUGGAAUUCCGAGUGUAGAGGUGAAAUUCGUAGAUAUUCGGAAGAACACCAGUGGCGAAGGCGGCUCACUGGACUGGUAUUGACGCUGAGGUGCGAAAGCGUGGGGAGCGAACAGG
rnacentral:rRNA from 1 species